ACGGAGGGUGCUAGCGUUGUUCGGAAUCACUGGGCGUAAAGGGUGCGUAGGCGGUCGCGCAAGUCGGAUGUGAAAUCUCAGGGCUCAACCCUGAAACUGCAUUCGAUACUGCGUGGCUAGAGUGCUGGAGAGGAGACUGGAAUUUACGGUGUAGCAGUGAAAUGCGUAGAUAUCGUAAGGAAGACCAGUGGCGAAGGCGAGUCUCUGGACAGCAACUGACGCUGAGGCACGAAGGCCAGGGGAGCAAACGGGA
rnacentral:rRNA from 1 species